rnacentral:misc_RNA from 1 species
AAGACUAUAGACCUGCGGAGUACCUGCGGAGGGAUCAUUAAUGAGAAACUGCCCCUCGCGGGUAGAUCUCCCACCCUUUGUAAACUUACCUUUGUUGCUUUGGCAGGCCCGUCUCCGGACCGCCGGCUUCGGCUGGCCAGUGCCUGCCAGAGGAUUCUAAAACUCUGUCUGUCAGUGUUGUCUGAGUCUAUAUACAAUCGUUAAAACUUUCAGCAAUGGAUCUCUAGAUCGGAAGAGCAC